rnacentral:rRNA from 1 species
GACGAACGCUGGCGGCGUGCUUAACACAUGCAAGUCGAACGGAAAGGCCCUGCUUUUGUGGGGUGCUCGAGUGGCGAACGGGUGAGUAACACGUGAGUAACCUGCCCUUGACUUUGGGAUAACUUCAGGAAACUGGGGCUAAUACCGGAUAGGAGCUCCUGCUGCAUGGUGGGCGUUGGAAAGUUUCGGCGGUUGGGGAUGGACUCGCGGCUUAUCAGCUUGUUGGUGGGGUAGUGGCUUACCAAGGCUUUGACGGGUAGCCGGCCUGAGAGGGUGACCGGCCACAUUAGGACUGAGAUACGGCCCAGACUCCUACGGGAGGCAGCAGUGGGGAAUAUUGCACAAUGGGCGGAAGCCUGAUGCAGCAACGCCGCGUGCGGGAUGACGGCCUUCGGGUUGUAAACCGCUUUCGCCUGUGACGAAGCGUGAGUGACGGUAAUGGGUAAAGAAGCACCGGCUAACUACGUG